AACACUGGAAAAUUUACAGUUUGACAAGUGAAGCCAAGCGUGAAAAUAACGGAAUGCCGCAUUACCAGAGAUAAACAUAAAAUUCAAUAGAAUUCUCAAAUAUGUGCACAUUAGUAACGGUAUUUCGUCCUGGCGUUGAAUAUCGAAAUCAUUCUGGUGUUACUUUUCCAGUUAGUGAGAGGUUGCGGAAAUUGUUUUAUUUUGCUAUAAAAUUUCGAAAGCGAAAAUCGUAUUUAGUGGACCUAGUAAAGAACACAUUUCAAAGUUUUCUAAUAACAAUGGUGUCAUGGGAAGUAGAACCGCUGCUUUGCAGUGGUUCUACAAAAGGUCCUCUUCAUGGAUGUGAUGUCCUAAGUGUGAAAGUUUCGAUGUAUCAUUGGUGGAAUACUUGAGUGUACAUAUAUAACUGUUCAAAGUAAUGUUUUUUAGAUCCACAUUCAUUCAUACGUGUGAAGUCUAAAUGGCUUCGAAUGAGGCAAGUACGCCGUUACCAAAGAUCAGCCUGGAAAACUAAAGACAGACGACAUAUCGCCCCACCGGCAAUUCCAAAAAUUGCAGUUCGUCUAUCGUAUGAUGGUGCUGGUGCAUCGAACCAAAUGUAAUAAUAUUAUUGUAAUGGUGUCCUCAUAUCUCGAAAUGCAUUAAUCGUCGAAAAGAACAGUAUCAUAUUUUUCGGAUGGUAAUAUUACAUUAAAAAUCUGUAAACUGCAGUGCUCACAUCGCGAAAUGCAUCAAGAAGAACACAGAAUACCAUAAUUGCCGUACGUUAAUAUUUGAAUAAUACACUUGUGUGCUGCAAUGCGCCUAUUGUCAGUUCUACGCCUGGUCAUAAAUUGCUCCCAUAGCUAAUUUACAAUUACAUUAAAUCAAUCAAUCGGGGAACCUGACCUCAAAUUGCUGCCAUAGAUAAUCUACAAUAGACGCUAUCGCGGAAUGGAGAUUUUAAACACUUUCCCCCCAAUCGAAUGUCAGAAGACAAAGGAAUUUAGUACAUAAAGUGAGUUUACUGUAAAAUACAUUACAUAGGCUAAGAUAGAAUUUUUUUUUAAAGAAUUUGAUUUGAUUAUUCAAUAUUAUUGCCUCCAAAGCUAUACAGUGGUUAUAACGGUCAUGCAUUUUAUCAUAUGACGAGUUACCUUUAAUGAGAAAUGUAUAAUAUAGUAUAAAAAGCACUUCACUUCAGAAAACACGAUUAUAUUAUAAACUAACUAAUUAAUUAUUGUUUCUCUGUAAUCGCCUGCUACACUUCGUACACACUUUAAAUUUUUUUUCAAUCCAGAUUUUUCUACACACGAUAGAGGUAUGUUUGCAAAUCAUUAUUUUUAUUAGUUAUGGACAUGAGAUUUGGAUUCUAAAGCUAUUCCGGUGAUAUUUAUUUUUGAGAUGUGCAGUCAAAUUCGACGUUUUGCCGCUUUUUUUUUAUAGGUUAUCCACACAGAUUUCAGGAAAUAUUUUGUUUUUUUUUUUCUUUGAAAAAGUUCCAUACAACAUUGGAAAUCUAUAUAUAUUAGAACAGGAUUAGAAUAGUAAACUGGUAUAAAAACCGCAAUGCCAUUCCAUAUAAACCACAAAUUUAUUAUUCAAAACAUCAGAGUAGUUUUCAUUCUGUCUUGUUUGCACAUAAUUCUUCUUGGCAGAAAUGGCCGUAAAAACGGCUCUACUGUUUUUAGAAUACCCAGGUUCUUCUGCAAUUUUAUGUUUAUUAUAUGUUGUAGCUUAUUACUCCCAUCUGUUUUUAUUGUGAUAUCUUAAACAUUUCUCUACUUUUUCCAUUCUACUUUUUAAUUUUACGCGGUUGACUAAUACGUUUUCUGGUUUAUAUCCUUUUGUUGAGUGAGCAGUUCCUGUUGUAUUGUUUAACUGCAUUACUACAUUUUUCUACAACAACUAUGGACAGAGAACACAACAUAGAGAAGGUGCAUUUUGUAUGAAGUUCGAUUCCUUUGUUUACAAAGUUUAUAAUUGUCUAGUAGGGGAUUCACGCGAUGGCAUAAAAACCUCGAUUUAACAUAAUUGAUUUAAUUUUAUAAAAAUUUGGCUCGCGUUUUCGGUAUAAUUCCGAUUUCGUGUCGUGUUUUCUAGACAACUAAACUACAAACUAUAACUAAUACUAAAAUUUACAUCUAAUCAAAAACUAAAUUACUACAGACUACCCUGAAAGAAAAAAAUUAAUAUAUAGGAAUAUAAUCUGAAAAAAAAUAUUUAUUAAUUACUGUACAUAUUUAUUAAUAGAAAUUUAUUUUAUCUAUAAAAAAACAGAAGUUGCCGCAAUUUUUGAGCCCGAUCUGCAAUUUACGUUCUACAUUUUUUUUAAUUUUUUUUUGGUAUGCGCUGGCUUUAGCGACUUUUUUACAUUGUUCUGUUUGAAGAGCCAGCCACUUACUGUUUUUGGAUAACAAAACAGUUAUCAAAAAAUCAAGGAAUGAGUGCAUAUGACCUAGGCAUUUUCCUGCCUCCUCAUACCAUUGCGGAUAAGUUUCUUGUGUCCUUUUUGUAAUUUGGGCUAUUAUCAAUUACUUAAUACCCACUUUAUGCGCGUGUUUUGCAAAUAGUUCCUUGUAGUAAUUAAAUUGAAGCCGGCAUACUUCAAAAACUCAUCAGGAUUUACCAAUCUUAAAUCGUCGGGACUAUUAUAAUUUUUUGACCUUAUGAGGGCUUCCGAUGAGUCUUCAAGCGAGCUUGUCGUAUUCUUCAUAACAGCAACACAUUUCUGGCAUUUCAAUCGACAUAAAACCUUCUGGUAAAUGGCGUAUCUCGUGUAGUAUCGACGUAUCUGAGUUUCUGAUGGUUUUUCAGAAGCAAAGUGCUCAUAUGGAAUCUCUAUUUGUUACACGCCAAAUUGCUCUGCUGGUUGUAAGUUUUCUCUCAGGUCGUCUUCUUAUCCAUAAUUCCAGUCAUGGUUUAUAUCGCCAUCUUCACAAUUGCUCCCUGUUUGUGAGAAUUGACGACGUAGAACAUGCAUCGAUAUCAGCCUUGCUACUAUGUAUUGCAUUUCGUGUACUGAUGGAUGGCUAUUUAUUCCCAAAUUUGCCCGGAUUUCAUAGAAAAAGUUUUCAAGGGCGUCUUGAUUCAUUUUCCCUAAGAGUAGAAACGAUAUCGUGUCGUUUUCUUUAAAUAAAUCGCCGCUCAAUUUGAUCAUGGCGUUGAUGGUUAAGAUGGUUGAGUCGAAACAUCUUUUCAAAGGUACCAGGGUACACGUGAGAAUAGGUCAAUUUUGGGCACAUUUUAAAAUUGACAUUCGCUUGGUCUAUGGCGUAUAUCUUUCUCACAACAUCGAAUGUUGCUAUGCCAUCACGUGUCUCAAGGUCAUAUUUCAUAAACAUGUUGCGGAUGCAUUUAAUCAAAUGGCUAUAAUCGAACAUAAAAUAUAGUUUUUUUCUUUGUAAUAGAAAAAUGGCUCAUCUGAACUGACGCCCAAUAGUCCUUUCAAUUUUAUAUUUUGGACGCCUUGAUCGCAAACUAUCGAUUUCACAUUAAGCCCGAUUUUUUCGCAGGCAUCUAAGUUGUUAUUUAACAACAUCAUUAAUUGUCCAACUUUUACGCCUUCCUUGGCUACGUAGUAGGAAACUAUAUAUUUCCAUUUGGACACUAAGCCUUUUACCAUGAAAAAAACAGCACUUAUUGCCGUUCACACUUUCUCGGUGACCUUCUCCGUUAUCGACGAAGCCAUCUAUAACGUCCCGUACUUUAUUGUACGUCAGACCUCUUUAAUUGAGUCUUCGUCGAAAAUUAUUAGGCAAAUGCGCUCCUCUUUUGACAUGUUUCUUACGAUUUUCUCUAAAUUGUGUAAAACCUCAUCGAAACCGGGGGACACAGACCGGAUCGGCCGCCAACGCAAAAGCGUUUUUUUAUGCGGUAAUGCAAAUGAGAGGUCGUCGCGCAUGAAAUUAUAGGCUUUUGAAAACAUAUAAUUUAUGUUCAAUGCCAUUAUCUUCUCCUUUUCGUCAUAGGAGGUUUUAUUUUUAAGUAUAAUUUUUGCGAGUGUUAUCGCGUAUUCGCUUGCACCGCUGGGUAUUAUUAUUCUUUUUUCUAAAGCUUCACAUUUUUUUUGUAGCUCAUAUAUGUAUUUGUUUUUUUUUUUUAAAUCCGCGAUAAUCUGGCUUUGUUUUAGCGCAUUUUUUUGGUAGCCUCUGGCUACUCGAGCAUAAUGCUCAUGAUCAUAAGUAGUGAUCUCUUCACUACUUUCACAUUUCAUCUCGAUUUCUCAUAGUUUUGUCAUAUUUUCCAUUUCGGAAAAAGUAAAGCUAGAGGGUGAAGCCGCUUUUUCAUUUUUUACAUCAUAGCUUUUUCCUACCGCCGGCAAAACCUAUUCAGAUAUAUCGCUAUUAUCAUUAUUUUCUUCAAUUUUGAUUACCGGUACAACUUCAUGUAACAGUCGCUUUGCCGAAACGUCUUUCUUAUAAAAAUGACGUUCGCAUACAAAUAAACGUUUACUUUUAUCUAAUGGCAAUUGUAAAUUGCAGGCCCGAGCCCAAUUGUUGGCAGCGACUUCCGUUUUCGGAAAUUCGAAGAGCUUCCGGGACUCCCAUCCCGUGUAGUUGCUAACGCAGCAACUGCGAUACAGUUUUGCUACCACAUAUUCUUGGGCUGGGCUCCCCUAAAUGCCUAUGAAACAGUAAUUAAUUAAAUAUACAGUAUAAUAUAUAUUAAUAAAGAAUAAAAUAUGCAAUUUAUAAAUAAAUUCAUUUAAAAAAGUAAAAUUAAGAAAAUUCCAGCAUGAAAUUAUAUUUUAUUUGUAAUGAGCUAAAUUUUCAUUACGACCUCUAGUCUUUGGUGUCCGAUGUCUUUCUCUCGGAUUAUGAAGCGAGCUUGUAUAUUUCUAAUUUCUUUAUAUAUAUAUAAAUCUUUUGUACGUGUGUUAGUCAUUGAACUCCUUCUAAACGGCUGGACUGAUUUUGAUGAAAUUUUUUGUGUGUAUUCCAGGGGGUUUGAUGAUGGUUUAGAUUCACAAUACGAUCAACUAGAUUUUGUUUUUUUAGUUAUAUUAUUUAUUUAAAAUUUUUUGUUGAUAUUAGCACAACUUACAUAGAAUCCGGCAGACUGCGCUGUAGUCGCUGUGUCAAAUAUUCAAGAGUGUGUCUUGAAAUCUUCGUGGAAGACCAGGAAAGAAUUAGAAAAUAUGUAAAUAUGGAAAAAUUGCGAUGAAAAUAAUAAUAAGAAAAUUUUAUUUGAAUUGACAACAAAAUAAAAAAAAGAAAAAAAAAAUUAUUUUAUUUUGAAGGUUGUCAUUGUUCAAUUGUAUACGGUUGUGUCGAUAGCCGAAAAAAAUUUGUAACAAAUAAGAAAAGGCUAAGUUCGGGUGCAACCGAACAUUUUAUAUACUCGCAAUUUAUUGCUAUAUUUUUAUUAAGGUAACACAUAGGCAUAAAGUCCAAUAGAAAAUCAUCAUAUAUAAUUCCUGAACAAUUUUCCCUCAUUUUCACAACCAUGGUAAAUUAAUCCUUACAAUCAAUAUCCGUGUUUAACUCCAAAAUGACCCAUCUGCGUCGCGGUUUUCUGAACAUUUGCUAAACAUUGGUAAUGGUGAAAUUCAAUUGUAUAGAGAUACGCAGUAUAUUCAACUACCAGAAAACUUUUGCAAUAUGGUUGCUACUAAAGAUGAGUUGAUGCAAAGUAUUUUCCCACAGAUACAAUAUAAUUAUACAGACCAUACAUGGCUACGUGAGCCAGCUAUUUUAGCUGCGAAAAAUGAAUAUGUCGACACGAUCAAUUUCAAAAUACAGCAGUCACUGCCUGAUAAUGAAUUUACAUUUAAAUCAAUUGACACUGUUGUUGAUCCAGAUGAAGUUGUCAACUAUCCUGUAUAAUUUUUGAAUUCACUGGAUUUAGUACACUUCUUUCAGACUUAUUUAUUUCGUUGUCGAACCUGCACCUUCUCUAUGUUGUAAGUUCUCUGGUUUUAGUUGCUCAACGGUAUAAACACUAAACAAAUCUUUACUUGACGACAUUUUAUGUACAAUACAGCCACUUCUGAUGUUUUAAACAAUUUUACAAUAUUGAACGCUCUUUAAAUGAUACUGCACUCGUUUCACUUUGUCUACAAUAUGACCGCAGAUAGCGCAGCCACCCUCU